rnacentral:lncRNA from 11 species
GAUCUGUUGAUAGCUGUGUUGUUAGAAGGGAGGUAUCCUGGCCGGAUGGCACAGAGAAUUAUCUCAAACAUAUCUGACACUGGACUGAUAAGUUGUGUACCUGUGUAUGCUGAACACACGAAGGUUCCAAUAAAAAACCUGGUUGUGUACAUGCUCUGACUGACUAUGGACUGAUCUUAAAGAGAGCUUAGAAUGAUGUCUCCUGAAAUAUCUGUACUGGAAUGGAGUUCUUCAAACGUGAAUGUAAUUGUUCUCAGAUGUGGAUAUGUGAGUAUGACCCUUAUUUAUUUAUUUAUUCAAA